CGACCGGCGCACGGGUGAGUAACACGUAUGCAACCUGGCCGUGACAGAUGGAUAACCGGGAGAAAUCCCGCCUAAUACAACAUAAUGCCGGGAGGGGACAUCCCCUGCCGGUCAAAGGGGGCGACCCCGGUCACGGAUGGGCAUGCGGCGCAUUAGGUAGUUGGUGGGGCAACGGCCCACCAAGCCGACGAUGCGUAGGGGUUCUGAGAGGAAGGCCCCCCACACUGGUACUGAGACACGGACCAGACUCCUACGGAAGGCAGCAG
rnacentral:rRNA from 1 species